GACGAACGCUGGCGGCGUGGAUUAGGCAUGCAAGUCGAACGGUAUCAUCCUUUCGGGGGUGAGAGAGUGGCGAACUGGUGAGUAACACGUAGGUUAUCUACCCUCAAGACGGGGACAACCCAGGGAAACUUGGGCUAAUACCGGAUGUGAGCAACUUUUAGUUGUUUGAAAGGUGGCGUAAGCUGUCGCUUGGGGAUGAGCCUGCGUCCUAUUAGUUAGUUGGUGAGGUAACGGCUCACCUAGGCAAUGAUAGGUAGGCGGCCUUAACGGGUGGUCGCCCACACUGGGAUUGAGAUACGGCCCAGACUCCUACGGGAGGCAGCAGUCGAGAAUAGUCUACAAUGGUCGGAAGACUGAUAGUGCGACGCCGCGUGAACGAUGAAUCCCUUCGGGGUGUAAAGUUCUUUUAUAUGUGAGCAGUGCUUCUUAUAUUAACAGUAUGGGGAAGAGAUAUUAGCAUAUGAAUAAGCAACGGCUAACUCCGUGCCAGCAGCCGACGGUAAACACG
rnacentral:rRNA from 1 species